rnacentral:rRNA from 1 species
AGAGAGAGACAUGCGCGCAUAUCAAUAAGCGGAGGAAAAGAAACUAACAAGGAUUCCCUUAGUAACGGCGAGUGAAGCGGGAAGAGCUCAAAUUUGAAAUCUUCAAGGUUCUACCUUGACGAAUUGUAGUUUAAAGAAGUGUUUUCUGCUGAAGUUUUGGUAAAAGUUCUUUGGAAUAGGACAUCAUAGAGGGUGAGAAUCCCGUAUUUGACCAUUAUUUUCAGCUUUGUGAUACACUUUCAAAGAGUCGGAUUGUUUGGGAAUGCAGUCCAAAAUGGGUGGUAAAUUUCAUCUAAAGCUAAAUAUUGGCGAGAGACCGAUAGCGAACAAGUACCGUGAGGGAAAGAUGAAAAGAACUUUGAAAAGAGAGUUAAACAGUACGUGAAAUUGUCAAAAGGGAAGCGUUUGACACCAGUGUUGUUUUCUCGAAAAUCAAUUAAAAAUGGCUCGAUUUUGUAUUGCUUGAGACCUUAAAAGCUCACUGUACAUUUUUCGUGUCUUUUUUAAUGCACUUUUCGUUUAACAAGUCAACAUCAGUUUCUUUUGUUGUAAAAGGGUCAUUGGAAGGUGGCUUUCUUUUCGGAGAAAGUGUUUAUAGCCUUUGGCCUCUGCAAUCGGAAGAGACUGAGGUCUGCAGCGUAGACUCUUCGGGGUUAGAUACAUUUGUGCUAAGUUAUAGCUUUUUAUAGACAACUUGUUGACUAUAAUUAGUCUUGUAGCUUACUCGCUUAUGCUAUUUUACCUACGCUUAGGAUGUUGAAGAUGUAGCACAUCAU